GGGGAUGUAGCUCAGUUGGUAGAGCAUCUGCUUUGCAAGCAGAGGGUCAGCGGUUCGAGCCCGCUCAUCUCCA
rnacentral:tRNA from 1 species